rnacentral:tRNA from 1 species
UACCCGAUGGUGUAAUUGGCAACACAACAGGUUUUGGUCCUGUCGUUCCAGGUUCGAGUCCUGGUCGGGUAGCCA